CCAACUUCCUGACGGUUCGUUUUCUGAUUCUGCAAAAAAAAAAAAAAGAGAGAGAGAACCGCAUUUCCUUUUUGACUUAAGAGGCAGAGAGAGGGAGACAAGCGGAGGCUGGGGGCUGGUGGACUCAUCGAGCUGCAAAGCACAGUCAGGCUAAUGCUAAACUCUUCUGGCUGUCCAAAAGAUGCUGUGGUCCAGAUAUCCUUCUCUGGAUCUGCAGGCUGUGCUUUGCAGAAGAUUCAUUCUUCAUGGAGGAAAGCACAGCCAAUGAGGCCACAUUCUCCUGUCUUUAGACUUACUAAAGUAAAAGAAAAAAAUAGGAGAGAAAAACAACCCUACAGACAGACAUGAAGAACAGAAGCAUGUCAGUGACCGCCUGAAGAUACCACAGUAAGAAGAACUUGACCUAAGGUUCUAAAGAGGGUCUUAUCAGCUUGGGAGGACUGAUACAGCAGGAUUGAUGGUGCUGAAGUGCUUCUUGGUAAUGACCUUUCUGCAGCCCUUGACUUUUCUUUCACACAGUCUUUGGUAGCCUAACAACAAUGGGAACUAUUGUUUAGAUAACUGUGAUUUUGCUUCUUCCUUUUAUCAAAAGAUUUUAAAAACUGAAAACAGAGUUAAUGGCAGAUCUUGGAGUGUCCAUAAAUAACACAGAUACAGACCAGGUACAAGAAAGCAGUGAUUCUGGAAGAUUUAUACAAUUGAAUUGCUUCUUUAUGCUGUUGAUUUCCUGAUGCUGCACCUAUGAAUCUGUCCCUUAGUGUUUAUGAUAUAUUUUCAGAAAAUAAGAUUGUACACCAAUGUUAAUUGUAAUUAUUUUAAUUAUCCCUUUUGAGGAUUCUCUUGCUUUGUCUUCACAUGGCAUAUGCAUGUAAAAGUGUGAAAUUGAGACACAUACAAGGAAUUUUGGAAAAUGUUGUAUGUAAUGUAAGAUUUUUGACUAGGAUCUGUGCAUCAACCAUGGCAGGGCCAUCAUGUAGUGGAGCAAUUAUCAGCAUCAGCUUCAUCUUAAAAUUCUUAAUUUUCUCUGCUUUUCUUACUUUACUAUACAUAUUCUUUCCUUUUUUAUUUUUUAUGAUAAUAAUAAAAAAAAAAACAGGAAAAAAAUCUUCAUUGGAAAUAUCUGAUAUAUUCUCCGCUGGAAAAACAAUAUCCUGCAAUAGAUGGGUGGCCAUGUAAACACACCUCUGCCUAGCACAAAAAAAACCAGCCUGGAUUCAUGGGUAUGAAUUCAGAUGGCAUAGUGGGGAGGCAGGAGGACUUUUGCAGGGGAUUAAGACACCAGGUUUGAAUCUCUAGGGAUGCUGGCUCCAGUUCAGGCUCUAGUUGGGAGGCCAAAUAAGUAUGGUGGUCUCAUUAGUCCUCAUUACAAAAACUGACCACAUGAUUUGGUACCAUCAGCAGCUCUUUGCUAGAUAAAUCCUGGACUAGAGAAACAAGGUUUACUGCAAGCUAGACCUGAGGUAUGUUGACAGGGAGAAGUUUGCAGAAAGCCUGGCUGUACCAAGGCCAGUGUUAACAGUCUUUUUACUUUCAUUUGCUCUGAAUUCAUUCAUAUAUAUGCAAUCUAAAUGGUUUAAAAGUCAAGAAAGAAAAAGAAAGAAAGAAAGAAAAAGAAAGAAAGAAAGAAAGAAAGAAAGAAAGAAAGAAAGAAAGAAAGAAAGAAAGAAAGAAAGAAAGAAAGAAAGAAAGAAAGAAAGAAAGAAAGAAAGAAAGAAAGAAAGAAAGAAAGAAAGAAAGAAAGAAAGAAAGAAAGAAAGAAAGAAAGAAAGAAAGAAGAAAGAAAGAAAAUAAAGAAAGAAAGAAAGAAAGAAAGAAAGAAAGAAAGAAAGAAAGAAAGAAAGAAAGAAAGAAAGAAAGAAAGAAAGAAAGAAAGAAAGAAAGAAAGAAAGAAAGAAAGAAAGAAAGAAAGAAAGAAAGAAAGAAAGAAAGAAAGAAAGAAAGAAAGAAAGAAAGAAAGAGAAAGAAAGAAAGAAAGAAAGAAAGAAAGAAAGAAAGAAAGAAAGAAAGAAAGAAA